GAGUGGCGGACGGGUGAGUAACGCGUGGGUAACUACCCUGUACAGGGGGAGUAACAGUCAGAAAUGACUGCUAAUACCGCAUAAGACCACAGCACCGCAUGGUGCAGGGGUAAAAACUACCGGUGGUACAGGAUGGACCCGCGUCUGAUUAGCUGGUUGGUGGGGUAACGGCUCACCAAGGCGACGAUCAGUAGCCGGCUUGAGAGAGUGAACGGCCACAUUGGGACUGAGACACGGCCCAAACUCCUACGGGAGGCAGCAUG
rnacentral:rRNA from 1 species